rnacentral:lncRNA from 1 species
UAUCAAUGCCAAACUUAACAUGGUUCAUCAUGGUAAUGUCUUUGAUGAUCCUAAAAUGUUUCAAGUUGAUAGGCCGUUGUGGAUGUAACGUGUACGCUGAGAGUCGGGAAGCAAGGACAGGGAGUGAAUCAUUUAAUUAAUAAAUGACCAUAGAACAAAACAAGAAACACGGGCAGCGUACAGAAAUGAAACACAAACAGAGUCAAUAACGCCUGGGGAAGGAACCAAAGGGAGUGACAGAUAUAGGGAAGGUAAUCAGGAAGAAGACGGAGUCCAGGUGAGUCUGAUGAGGCGAGUAACGAUGGUGACAGGUGUGCAUAAUAUUGAGCAGCCUGGUGACCUAGAGCGCCGGAGAGGGAGUAUACGUGACAGUACCGGCUCCAGCCGCAGCACGCCGACGAUCCCGGGGACCAGGAGCGGACCGGUGGCCUCUGCUGAGGCGCGGGAGCCUGCCGAGUCUACCGAGUCUUGUGAACCUGGCGAGCCAGCUAAAGCAUGGAAGCCUGACGAGCUAGUUGAGAAAUCCUCGGUAGACUCGGCAACAGACGCUUGACUGGCCAACCGAGUCUUGUGAACCUGAUGUGCCGGCUGAGGGUGGACCCGACGUCACCUACCAACACAAAAAACACUCCCUGAUGCUCCCCUUUGGGGAGGCGUUAUUCUGUAACGUGUACGUUGAGAGUCAGGAAGCAAGGACAGGGAGUGAAUAAUUUAAUUAAUAAAUGACCAUAGAACAAAACAAGAAACACGGGUAGCGUACAGAAAUGAAACACAAACAGAGUCAAUAACGCCUGGGGAAGGAACCAAAGGAAGUGACAGAUAUAGGGAAGGUAAUCAAGGAGGUGAUGAAGUCCAGGUGAGCUGUGAACCCCUAAUUACAGGUGAGCUGUGAACCCAUAAUUACAGGUGAGAUGUGAACCCCUAAUUACAGGAGAGCUGUGAACCCCUAAUUACAGGUGAGUUGUGAACCCAUAAUUACAGGUGAGUUGUGAACCCCUAAUUACAGGUGAGCUGUGAACCCAUAAUUACAGGUGAGCUGUGAACCCAUACUUACAGGUGAGAUGUGAACCCCUAAUUACAGGUGAGCUGUGAACCCCUAAUUACAGGUGAGAUGUGAACCCCUAAUUACAGGUGAGAUGUGAACCCCUAAUUACAGGUGAGAUGUGAACCCCUAAUUACAGGUGAGCUGUGAACCCCUAAUUACAGGUGAGCUGUGAACCCAUAAUUACAGGUGAGAUGUGAACCCCUAAUUACAGGUGAGCUGUGAACCCCUAAUUACAGGUGAGAUGUGAACGCAUCAUUACAGGUGAGCUGUGAACCCCUAAUUACAGGUGAGCUGUGAACCCAUAAUUACAGGUGAGAUGUGAACCCCUAAUUACAGGUGAGAUGUGAACCCAUAAUUACAGGUGAGCUGUGAACCCAUAAAUAGGGACUGUGUCAACUCUGUUAGCAGAAAGUUUGCCAAAUCUGCCAAUUGCAACAAUUGAUUUCCUUCCAGAAAUGCUUUAUUGAAGACUUAGCUUUCCACUCAUGUUCCAGGUAAUUCGGGGGGAUUGCAUCCAUUGCCAUGGGCUUCAGUUAUCGCUGCGAUCCCAUCUUAGGCUGCAUGAAAGGGCACGUCGAACCAGGAAUAAUAAUGAAUAAGGCCGAGUGCCAUUCAGUCUAGGUCCACAGGGGCCUAGCGGUAUACAGGCUCCACAGCCAUGUCUUCUCCCCCUAUCUGACACUCAGAGUGACAUGACUAUAUCUCAUUAUCUCCACUGUAAGGCCUGUGAAAUAUAUCAGGAUACAUGUUAUGUCUUUGAUACAUGCAGCUUUAAAAAUUCUAUUUGUUCUGUCUUUGUAAGAGUUCAUGCACCUGUUGGCUGGAGCUGCGAAGGCACAGUAGCCUAGUGGUUCAGAACGGUAGAGUUAGUGUUAUAACACCAACCCAAACGUUGCUGGUUCAAAUCCCUAAGCUGACUAGGUGAGAAUCUGUCAAUGUACCCUUGAGCAAGACACAUCUUGAUCCACUCUGGCUAGUUGCUCUGGAUAAGAGUGUAUGUAGUGAAUGUUUUAGUUUAGAAUUUAUUGGUGUCCCUUUGCUGCUUGAAAAGUCUUUGGCAAAGAAGUUCAACUUAGUACAGUGUGAUUUGCAUGUGAAUGUCAAAGAGACCAAGCUCAGUAGAACUGAAAGAAUGGAUACGAGGAGAAGUAGGAGAAGCAGUGGAGUAAUAGAGGAAAGCAAUGGAGCAAGCCCACUGCUUGGCUUGCUUUAAACUGUUCAGCUGCCUAGUUGUCAUUAUAUUAAUUUAGAUGAAGGAAAUGAAACAAGGAGAGGAAGCUACUUUAGACUAUUUAAUUCAGCUCAUAAAAUGACACAGCCUAAAUACUUCCCAGCACAUAGUCUAUCUCUCUCCUGCUCUCCAUCUCUCUGUCGAUCUCUUUCUCUGUCCAUCUCUCUCUCUGUCCAUCUCUUUCUCUGUACAUCUCUCUCUGUCCAUCUCUUUCUCUGUCCAUCUCACUCUCUUUCCAUCUCUUUCUCUGUCCAUCUCUCUCUCUGUCCAUCUCUUUCUCUGUCCAUCUCUCUCUGUCCAUCUCUUUCUCUGUCCAUCUCUCUCUGUCCAUCUCUUUCUCUGUCCAUCUUUCUCUGUCCAUCUCUCUCUCUGUCCAUCUCUUUCUCUGUCCAUCUCUCUCUGUCCAUCUCUUUCUCUGUCCAUCUCUCUCCCUGUCCAUCUCUUUCUCUGUCCAUCUCUUUCUCUGUCCAUCUUUCUCUGUCCAUCUCUCUCUAUCUCUCUCUCUGUCCAUCUCUCUCUCUGUCCAUCUCUCUCUCUGUCUGUCUCUCUCUCUGUCCAUCUCUCUCUGUCCAUCUCUUUCUCUGUCCAUCUUUCCCUGUCCAUCUCUUUCUCUGUCCAUCUCUUUCUCUGUCCAUCUCUUUCUCUGUCCAUCUCUCUCUCUGUCCAUCUCUCUCUCUGUCCAUCUCUCUCUGUCCAUCUCUCUCUCUGUCCAUCUCUUUCUCUGUUCAUCUCUCUCCCUGUCCAUCUCUCUCUCUGUCCAUCUCUUUGUCUGUCCAUCUCUCUCUCUGUCCAUCUUUCUCUGUCCAUCUCUCUCUCUGUCCAUCUCUUUCUCUGUCCAUCUCUCUCUCUGUCCAUCUUUCUCUGUCCAUCUCUCUCUCUGUCCAUCUCUUUCUCUGUCCAUCUCUCUCUCUGUCCAUCUUUCUCUGUCCAUCUCUCUCUCUGUCAUCUCUUUCUCUGUCCAUCUCUCUGUCCAUCUUUUUCUCUGUCCAUCUCUUUCUCAGUCCAUCUCUUUCUCUGUCCAUCUUUCUCUGUCCAUCUCUCUCUCUGUCCAUCUCCCUCUCUGUCCAUCUCCCUCUCUGUCCAUCUCUUUCUCUGUCCAUCUUUCUCUGUCCAUCUCUCUCUCUCUCUGUCCAUCUCUUUCUCUGUCCAUCUCUCUCUCUGUCCAUCUUUCUCUGUCCAUCUCUCUCUCUGUCCAUCUCUUCCCUGUCCAUCUCUCUCCUGCUCUCCAUCUUUCUCUGUCCAUCUUUCUCUGUCCAUCUCUCUCUCCUGCCCUCCACAUAUUGCCAAAGCUUACUUUUGAUAUUUACAAUAUCAAAAUAGCAAUAACAAUAACAGUAGCAAUAAGCAUACAGUAGAGGACAUGUGCAGGUUGAUUGGUCUGUCAGACACUGUCAAUCAUCUUAUGGCAGGCAGCAAUGUAGUGCUCUCUCUCUCUGUCUCUCUCUCUCUGUCCGUCUCUCUCUCUUUCUUUGUCUCUCUCUCUCUCUCUCUCUCUCUCUCUCUCUCUCUCUCUCUCUGUCUAUCUCUCUUUCUCUCUCUGUCUGUCUGUCUCUGUCUCUCUCUCUCUCUGUCCAUUUCUCUCUCGCUCUCUCGCUCUCUCUCUCUCUCUCUCUCUCUCUCUCUCUCUCUCUCUCUCUCUCUCUCUCUCUCUUUCUCUCUCAAUCUGUCCGUCUCUCUCUCUUUCUCUCUCAAUCUGUCCGUCUCUCUCUCUCUCUCUCUCUCUCUCCAAUUCAAGGGGCAUGGGAAACAUAUGUUAACAUUUCCAAAGCAAGUGAAGUAGAUAAUAUACAAAAGUGAAAUAAACAAGAAAAAUGAACAGUAAACAUCACACUCACAGAAGAUCCAAAAGAAUAAAGACGUUACAAAUGUCAUAUUAUGUAUAUAUACUGUGUUGUAACGAUGUACAAAUGGUUAAACUGCAAAAGGGAAAAUAAAUAAAAUAAAUAAGCAUAAAUAUGGGUUGUAUUUACAAUGGUGUUUGUUCUUCACUAGUUGACCUUUUCUUGUGGCACAGGUCACAAAUAUUGCUGCUGUGAUGGCACACUGUGGUAUUUCACCCAAUAGAUAUGAGAAUUUACCAAAAUCGGGUUUCUUUUCAAAUUCUUUGUGGGUCUGUGUAAUCUGAGGGAAAUAUGUGUCUCUAAUAUUGUCAUACAUUUUGCAGGAGGUUAGGAAGUGCAGCGCAGUUUCCACCUAAUUUUUUUGGGCAGUGUGGACAUAGCCUGUCUUCUCUUGAGAGCCAUGUCUGCCUACAGUGGCCUUUCUCGAUAGCAAGGCUAUGCUCACUGGAGUCUGUACAUAGUCAAAGCUUUCCUUAAGUUUGGGUCAGUCACAGUGGUCAGGUAUUCUGCCACUGUGUACUCUCUGUUUAGGGCCAAACAGCAUUCUAGUUUGCUCUGUUUUUUUGUUAAUUCUUUCCAAUGUGUCCAGUAGUUACCUUUUUGUUUUCUCAUGAUUUGGUUGGGUCUAAUUGUGUUGCUGUCCUGGGGCUCUGUGGGGUGUGUUGUGUUUGUGAACAGAGCCCCAGGACCAGCUUGCUUAGGGGACUCUUUGCCAGGUUCAUCUCUCUGUAGGUGAUAUGGUGGCAAAAUUGCAAGAUUAUGUUAUAAUACUUUUAUUGCAUGAAAUGGUUGUGUUAUGCAACAGAAUAGAGUAUUCUGUUAACUAUUGUGUGUGUGUUCUACUGAGGAUGGGCCACUGGGAGAUAACACUGACAGAGGAGAUUUAUGAGGUCUUUUGGGUGAUAAAACCUAAAGAGCAUUCCAGAGCAUGAGUUAAUGUUUCUGUUCUAUACCGUACCAGGGAGAGAUGGUUCCAGUUUGGAGUCAGAGGGACAGACUCUGGUCUAUACAAUGAAAACUGUUGACACAGCAGAUACUGUAUGCUAUGUAUUAUAGGUAUCUUUCAUCCAGAUCUUAACCUUGUGACCCAUUCUAUAUAUCUGUUGUUGGUCAUGUAGGUUGAAAGGGGGGUAUCUUGGCUAUAAAAGACAUGGUGUAUCGUCGACCAGCCAUUGUUAUUGCAAAGCUCUCACUAAUAAAGAUUCAGUUUAACUAUAA